UUUUGAACUUAAUUUAUAAAAAACCUAUUAAAGGUGUGUAAGGCUACUCAUAAUCAGUUAUUGUUGAUGGCAUUUGUUUAUAUCUUUUAAUGAAUAAGUAAUGCAUUUACAAAACUAAAACCAGUGAAUUAUAAUUGUGUCCUGGGUAACGUUACCUCAGACAAGUUGUUUAUGUACAGUUGAUGUCAUCAUGAAGCCAACCACCGCCGCACUCGUCGUAUUAGGUUCUUUUGCGAUAGUGGGAGUUGUAUCAGGAAUGGUAUUAUAUUCAAGAAAUAUACUGCAUACAGGGAGUAGCGAUUCCACAGAUGGCCAUCACAACACAGCGCAAAAUAGACCAGGUAAAUCAACACGAAGUCAAACACGACAAGGCUCCGAAAACAUGAUUGCCCACUGGCAGUUAAAUUGUUUUACAUUCACAGCAGAUGUUAUUGGACAAGGGGAAGAAUGAAACGUUUACAGGGUUACGUUUGGUGAAGCUGCCGAUGCAGCAGUAAAAGAAUACAGGACUAUCGACAAGUCGACAAAGAUGCGCCUAAAAGACGAGCUGUGAAAGCGAAUGAAAAACUCCUUAAUUUUACAUGUCCAAAUAUUGUGCGAUAUUACACCGUUGAUAAAAACAAAUUUGCAUUUUACCUUUGCAUGGAGUUAUGUGAAUGCGACCUUGCAGGACGGAUUUAGACAAAUGCUCAACGGAUUGAAAUGUCUGCAUGAUAAUAAUUUUCUGCAUCGAGAUCUUAAACCAAGCAAUGUUCUUGUAAAGAGAGAACACACAAGUAUUUUGUUUAAAUUGUCUGAUUUUUCUCUCGCCAAAGAAACAGAUACAUCAAAUAGCGCCAUAUCUUGACAUUAUGUUGGAACAGAAGGUUGGAUGCCACCUGAAAUGCACCAAGGAGUAGAAGCCAACACACCAAAUAUGAUAGUGAAGUCAUCUGCAGAUAUAGUUGCAUGUGGACUGCUCGGGUACUAUGUAGUUUCAGGCGGCAACAAGUGUUACAAUUCUCAGCAAGAUAUAAAUCAUGACAUUGCAGAUUAUAGCCAUUUAGUUGACCCUACAGCUGAGGAUCUUGUACGAGCGAUGACAUGCCGCGACGGAAGGGAACGUCCAGACGCGAAGAUGUGUUUGAAACAUCCGUUUCAUUGGGAUUCCUGUAAAACUCUGGGAUAUUUCAAGGUGGUUAGUGAUACAAUGAUAGGUGAACAGAGGCAAAGAAUGACAAACAUGUCUAAUGCGUUAGAUCAACAUUUUAAUCAGGUGUUUCAGCAGGAUUGGGAAACCAUCCUUUCAUCACAGGUUAAAACUGAACUAUUCUUGGCUCCUAGAACGAGAAAUAGACCGAUGUACAACAAGUAUAAGGUCAGCAGCUUGAUUCGAGCAGUACGAAACACGAAGGACCACUUUCACGAGAUGAGUCAUUUGCACCAAGAAAUAGGCAACAAUGAAACAGAACUGCUUGCAUAUUGGACAGGACUAUUCCCACAACUGCUUAUUCACACAUAUACAGCACUGAAACCCAUGGCACACUCGUAUGGUGAUCUUCAAAUGUAUUACUGAGGCAAUUGUUUUUCUUGUUUCAAUGAUUUUCCUUGACUAACGUUUGUAAAGAGGGAAAAGUGAAAACUUAAAUACGUAUGAGCAUUAAACUAUAUUAAAACCUUUAAAGCUGCACUCUCACAGAUAUCGCAUUUUUACAUUUUUUUGUUUUGGAAAGAGCAAAUUUUGCGUAAAUAUCAGCAAACCAAUGAUAAAAGUUUGCUGACAAAAAUCAGAUCGCAGAAUUUUAUAUUUCUGUUCGAAAACUAAUGAUUAUGGCUUAAACCUUACUUACGGUUUUAGAAAAAUGCAUAAAACAUCAUUUUUUGAACUUAAAUAUAAAAAUAUGUGAUCUUAUACUGGGCAUUAUAUAACUGGUGUUUAUGAAUUUUCGCAAAAAUUGGCUCGUUCUAAGGCAAAAAUAUAAAAUGUUGUCAAAACAUUCAAUAUGUGCUAGUGCAGCUUUAAUGGUUAAGUGCUUAUAUAGAGAAAAUGAGUACGUAAUAUUAAAGAAAAACGUACCUGAAUUUUUGAGUGAUUUUUUAAAUUAUCUUUUUUAGACAACAAUAAUAGCAAACGCAUUUUAUCUCUGAUAAUAUUUUGCCGUUCACUCGUUGAUAAAAUGACCCCCAUUAUUUUACGAACAUUGAUUUAAUAGCCCCAUCAUUCUACGCUCGUUGAUGAGAUGGCCCCAUUAUUCUACAUUCGUUUAUAAAAUGAAAUGGCUCCCAUUAUUCUACGUUCCUUGAUAAAAUGGCCACAUUAUCUUACGCUCCUUGAUAAAAUGGCCCUAAUUAUUCUACGCUUGUUGAUAAACUGCAGGACAAGUCAAGUCAAACACCGUUUAUUCACUAAUACCAUAAACAUGGCAAAUAAGGUCAUGUACAAAGCAUAUAUACAUGGCGGCAGAUACCAAGUUAAAAUCAAACUACAAUUCAUAUGAUACCCAAUACGCGAAUCGGAGAGUCAUUUACAUGAAAUUAGAAAACAUGAUUGACAUAUGACAAUGGAUAAGGUUAUAUCAAUAGCCUAAGUAUUCACUUUCAAUCACUUAAACAUAAGGAAGAGCCUAUCAUAGUUGUGUGGCCAAUUUGAACAUUUUGAAAAAUGAUGUAUUUAAUCAAAUUUGGCAAUAGAAAUACUGUAAAUCAUUUGCUAAGCUUUUUGUUUACAGGUUAUUAGAACAAUUAUUUUCAAAAAAAAAGGCCUAUAGAGCAAGGUUGUUUUUUGUUUUUUUUAAUUAUUUCAGAUAUGAAACAGUACUGAAAUAAACAGAAUAAACACUUCUGUAUACUACUUACAUUUUUCAACGUUCGUUGAAAAGAUGGCCCAAAUUAUAUUUACGCUCGUUGAUGAAAUGGCCACAAUUAUCCAUUAUUUUUACGCUUGUUGAUGAAAUGGCCCCAACUAUCCAUUAUUCUACGCUCGUUGAUAAAAUGGCCCCAAUUAUCCAUUAUUUUACGCUCGUUGAUAGAAUGGCCCCAAUUAUCCAUUAUUCUACGCUCGUUGAUGAAAUGGCCCCAAUUAUCCAUUAUUCUACGCUCAUUGAUGAAAUGGCCCCAAUUAUCCAUUAUUCUACGCUCGUUGAUGAAAUGGCCCCAAUUAUCCAUUAUUUUACGCUCGUUGAUAAAAUGGCCCCAAUUAUCCAUUAUUUUACGCUCGUUGAUGAAAUGGCCCCAAUUAUCCAUUAUUCUACGCUCAUUGAUGAAAUGGCCCCAAUUAUCCAUUAUUCUACGCUCGUUGAUGAAAUGGCCACAAUUAUCGAUAAGUGUACGCUCGUUGGUGAAAUGGCCACAAUUAUCCAUUAUUUUACGCUCGUUGAUGAAAUGGCCACAAUUAUCCAUUAUUCUACGCUCAUUGAUGAAAUGGCCCCAAUUAUCCAUUAUUCUACGCUCGUUGAUGAAAUGGUCACAAUUAUCGAUAAGUGUACGCUCGUUGGUGAAAUGGCCACAAUUAUCCAUUAUUCUACGCUCGUUGAUGAAAUGGCCCCAAUUAUCAAUUUUUCUACGCUCGUUGAUGAAAUGGCAGCAAUUAUCCAUUAUUCUACGCUCGUUG